rnacentral:rRNA from 1 species
ACUGGGACUGAGAACGGCCCAGACUCCUACGGGAGGCAGCAGUAGGGAAUUUUCCACAAUGGGGGCAACCCUGAUGGAGCAACGCCGCGUGCAGGAUGAAGGCCUUCGGGUCGUAAACUGCUUUUAUCUGUGACGAAUAUGACGGUAGCAGAUGAAUAAGGAUCGGCUAACUCCGUGCCAGCAGCCGCGGUCAUACGGAGGAUCCAAGCGUUAUCCGGAAUUACUGGGCGUAAAGAGUUGCGUAGGUGGCAGAGUAUGUCUGUAGUGAAAGCGUGUGGCUCAACCAUAUACACAUUACAGAAACUGCUCAGCUAGAGGACGAGAGAGGUUAUUGGAAUUCCUAGUGUAGGAGUGAAAUCCGUAGAUAUUAGGAGGAACACCGAUGGCGUAGGCAGAUAACUGGCUCGUUCCUGACACUAAGGCACGAAAGCGUGGGUAGCAAACGGGAUUAGAUACCCCGGUAGUCCACGCCGUAAACGAUGGAUACUAGCUGUAGGGGGUAUCGACCCCUUCUGUAGCGAAGCUAACGCGUUAAGUAUCCCGCCUGUGGAGUACGGCCGCAAGGCUAAAA